rnacentral:rRNA from 1 species
CGGGUGAGUAACACGUGGGUAAUCUGCCCUCCGAUGGGGAAUAACAGUUCGAAAGGGCUGCUAAUACCGCAUGACAAACCGCUAUCAACUUAGUCGGUUUCAAAGCAGCAAUGCGUCGGAGGAGGAGCCCGCGGCCCAUUAGCUAGUUGGCAGGGUAAUGGCCUACCAAGGCGACGAUGGGUAGCCGGCCUGAGAGGGUGUACGGCCACACUGGAACUGAGACACGGUCCAGACUCCUACGGGAGGCAGCAGUGGGGAAUAUUGCGCAAUGGACGAAAGUCUGACGCAGCGACGCCGCGUGGGUGAUGAAGUUCUUCGGAACGUAAAACCCUGUCUGGUGGAACGAAAAAAAUGACGGUACCACCGAAGGAAGCCCCGGCUAACUCCGUGCCAGCAGCCGCGGUAAUACGGGGGGGGCUAGCGUUAUUCGGAAUUACUGGGUGUAAAGGGCGCGCAGGCGGCCUUGCUAGUCAGGUGUGAAAUCCCUCGGCUCAACUGAGGAACUGCGCUUGAUACUGCAAGGCUUGAGUACAGGAGAGGUGGGUGGAAUUCC